ACGGCUCAGUAACACGUGGACAACCUACCCUACGGAGGGGGAUAACCCCGGGAAACUGGGGAUAAUACCCCAUAGACUAUGGAUGCUGGAAUGCUCUGUAGCCGAAAGGUCCGCCGCCGUAGGAUGGGUCUGCGGCCGAUUAGGUUGUUGUUGGGGUAACGGCCCAACAAGCCUGUAAUCGGUACGGGUUGUGGGAGCAAGAGCCCGGAGAUGGAUUCUGAGACACGAAUCCAGGCCCUACGGGGCGCAGCAGGCGCGAAAACUUUGCAAUGCGGGAAACCGUGACAAGGGAACUCUGAGUGCCCGUAAAAUCGGGCUGUCCAUCGGUUUAAAUAACCGGUGAAGAAAGGGCCGGGCAAGACCGGUGCCAGCCGCCGCGGUAAUACCGGCGGCUCGAGUAGUGGCCACUAUUACUGGGCUUAAAGCGUUCGUAGCUGGUUUGUUAAGUCUCUGGGGAAAUCUUCCGGCUUAACCGGAAGGCGUCUCAGGGAUACUGGCAGACUAGGGACCGGGAGAGGUGAGAGGUACUCCAGGGGUAGGAGUGAAAUCCUGUAAUCCUUGGGGGACCACCUGUGGCGAAGGCGUCUCACCAGAACGGCUCCGACAGUGAGGGACGAAAGCUGGGGGAGCAAACCGGAUUAGAUACCCGGGUAGUCCCAGCUGUAAACGAUGCGCGUUAGGUGUAUCGGUGACCACGAGUCACCGAGGUGCCGAAGAGAAAUCGUGAAACGUGCCGCCUGGGAAGUACGGUCGCAAGGCUGAAACUUAAAGGAAUUGGCGGGGGAGCAC
rnacentral:rRNA from 1 species